CGGCGGACGGGUGAGUAAUGUAUGGGGAUCUGCCUGAUGGCGGGGGAUAACUACUGGAAACGGUAGCUAAUACCGCAUAAUGUCUACGGACCAAAGCGGGGGACCUCCGGGCCUCGCGCCAUCAGAUGAACCCAUAUGGGAUUAGCUUGUAGGUAAGGUAACGGCUUACCUAGGCGACGAUCCCUAGCUGGUCUGAGAGGAUGACCAGCCACACUGGAACUGAGACACGGUCCAG
rnacentral:rRNA from 1 species